CUACGGGGCGCUCCAGUGGGGAAUAUUGCACAAUGGGCGCAAGCCUGAUGCAGCCAUGCCGCGUGUAUGAAGAAGGCCUUCGGGUUGUAAAGUACUUUCAGCGGGGAGGAAGGGAGUAAAGUUAAUACCUCUGCUCAUUGACGUUACCCGCAGAAGAAGCACCGGCUAACUCCGUGCCAGCAGCCGCGGUAAUACGGAGGGUGCAAGCGUUAAUCGGAAUUACUGGGCGUAAAGCGCACGCAGGCAGUUUGUUAAGUCAGAUGUGAAAUCCCCGGGCUCAACCUGGGAACUGCAUCUGAUACUGGCAAGCUUGAGUCCCGUAGAGGGGGGUAGAAUUCCAGGUGUAGCGGUGAAAUGCGUAGAGAUCUGGAGGAAUACCGGUGGCGAAGGCGGCCCCCUGGACGAAGACUGACGCUCAGGUGCGAAAGCGUGGGGAGCAAACAGGAUUAGAUACCCCGGUAGUC
rnacentral:rRNA from 1 species